AAUCCUGUGUUUUCCCAAACCCAUCGCUGACUCGCUGAAUCCCUCUCUUCCCCAAGCCCUCUCCCCCUCGCGAGAUCCCAAACCUGCUGCCGGCGAGCUUUCCCUCCCUCGCACGAGCACCCCCGGACGCCGUCGGCCCCUCCUCCUCCGCCGAACUCCUUCCUUCCCUCUCCCUCUCGCGGGUCCUCAUGCCCUAGCUCUCACACCGCCGAACCUUCUCUUCCCGAGCCCUCACCCAGCGUUGUCGAUCUUCUCCUCGCGAGUUCCUGCAAGUACAGCCGUCAAUCCCUGGCCCUCGCGCGAGCACCCCAGCCGCGACUCUUCUCCCUCGCACGAGCACCACAUAUCGCAGCCGCCAGCCUCUCCUCGUGCCAGCACCAGAGAUGCCGCGACGAGCCAACGGCCGACGUCGACCCCUCUCUUCCCGAGCCGUGCCCUAACUGAUCGAGCAGGGUUCUUCCGGUGCUGUUUGGUGUGGCUGGAGAGGUCUAGAUAUGUUGAGAUUUUGGAUCAAGAUCAUGAAAGAUUCGACUGGGCUGGUUGGUGUUUUGUUCCUUUCCUUUGUUCCUGAAAAGCUUGGAUUUUCCUUCGAGAUCGUUAUGUUUCUGGAGUAGCUAUGGAUUUUAAGUUCAUGGGCUGGGUUAGAUCUGAGUUAAUCAAUGAAGGAGAUUAAUCAAGGUGAAUUGAUGAAUUGGGGUUGGCUACUGAUUUUGAGAUGUGCAUUUUGACGUGGAAUUUAGUUCAUCACGAUCUACAUAUAAAGGUAGCAAUAGAUGAUUCAUGAAUGCUUGGAGAGAUGCCGGCUGCCAGUCUUGGGUCCUGCGUUAUACCAGUUUUAUUUCCGCUUUACUUGUAUUUUUUUUGUAUACAACGAGUUUGGUAUUGUGUGAAUUGGUUUAUGUUUGGAGUUUGAUUCAUAGUGUUUUGUUUUUGUACGCUUGUGGUUGUGUAAGCCUAAUUGGCUAGUAAACUUUGGUUG